UCCUACGGGGGGCAGCAGUGAGGAAUAUUGGUCAAUGGGCGGUAGCCUGAACCAGCCAAGUAGCGUGAAGGAUGAAGGUUCUAUGGAUUGUAAACUUCUUUUAUAAAGGAAUAAAGUGAGGCACGUGUGCCUUUUUGUAUGUACCUUAUGAAUAAGGAUCGGCUAACUCCGUGCCAGCAGCCGCGGUAAUACGUAGGAUCCGAGCGUUAUCCGGAUUUAUUGGGUUUAAAGGGUGCGUAGGUGGUUAAUUAAGUCAGCGGUGAAAGUUUGUGGCUCAACCAUAAAAUUGCCGUUGAAACUGGUUG
rnacentral:rRNA from 1 species